UACGAAGGUCCCAAGCGUUAUCCGGAUUUAUUGGGUUUAAAGGGUGCGUCGGCGGGCUAUUAAGUCAGUGGUGAAAGCCCCAAGCUUAACUUGGGAACUGCCAUUGAUACUGAUGGUCUUGAGUACAUUUGAGGUGGGCGGAAUGUGUCAUGUAGCGGUGAAAUGCUUAGAUAUGACACAGAACACCGAUUGCGAAGGCAGCUCACUAAGCUGUAACUGACGCUGAGGCACGAAAGCGUGGGGAGCAAACAGG
rnacentral:rRNA from 1 species